rnacentral:rRNA from 1 species
CCUACGGGAGGCAGCAGUGGGGAAUAUUGGGCAAUGGGCGCAAGCCUGACCCAGCAACGCCGUGUGAGGGAUGAAGGCCUUCGGGUCGUAAACCUCUGUCAGAAGGGAAGAAUGGGCAUAGUUCGAAUAGGGCUAUGUUGUGACGGUACCUUCAGAGGAAGCACCGGCUAACUCCGUGCCAGCAGCCGCGGUAAUACGGAGGGUGCGAGCGUUAUUCGGAAUCACUGGGCGUAAAGGGCGCGUAGGCGGUCUGGUAAGUCAGGGGUGAAAUCCCACGGCCAAACCGUGGAACUGCCUUUGAAACUGCUGGGCUUGGAUCCUGGAGAGGGUGGCGGAAUUCCUGGUGUAGGAGUGAAAUCCGUAGAUAUCAGGAGGAACACCGGUGGCGAAGGCGGCCCCCUGGACAGGUAUCGACGCUGAGGCGCGAAAGUGUGGGGAGCAAACAGGAUUAGAUACCCCUGUAGU